GUGCCAGCAGCCGCGGUAAUACGUAGGGUGCAAGCGUAAAUCGGAAUUACUGGGCGUAAAGCGUGCGCAGGCGGCUGUGCAAGUCAGAUGUGAAAUCCCCGGGCUCAACCUGGGAACUGCAUCUGAUACUGGCAAGCUUGAGUCUCGUAGAGGGGGGUAGAAUUCCAGGUGUAGCGGUGAAAUGCGUAGAGAUCAGGAGGAAUACCGGUGGCGAAGGCGGCCCCCUGGACGAAGACUGACGCUCAGGUGCGAAAGCGUGGGGAGCAAACAGGAUUAGAUACCCUGGUAGUCC
rnacentral:rRNA from 1 species